rnacentral:lncRNA from 1 species
GCGAUGGAGACUGCGGCCCAAGUUAGGAUUAGGACAGCGGUUUUUCAGUCCGGAGAUUCCGGCCACAACUAUUUUUGUCUGUUUUUAUCGUAAGCCAGAGUCUUUGGGUGCAGCUCUGGGACACCUAAAGGGCCUGGAGAAAUUCAGGCGGGGCCAGUGCUGUGGGGGUAGAUGUUAGACGUGGAAGGGACCCUAGAGAGCCUUGACUGUGAGGACUGAGACAGGGCCUCCUUUGUUGCCCAGGCCGGAGUGCAGUGGCUAUUCACAGGUCGAUAAUGCAAUCAUGGUGCACACUACAGCCUUGAACUUCUGGGCUCAUGUGAUCCUUCUGCCUCAGCCUCCCAGAAAUAAGAAGAAAAAAAAGGAUAUUACCAACAAUGGAAGAGGAAUGCAGAGUGGCAACAGCUCCAAGUGGACCUGGCAGACUAUGAACACUAGAAUCACCAAGGAAACAUGGAGCUAUGAAAUGGCAAAAGGCUGUGUGAAAACCCUGACGCUUUUUGGUUCAGCCUUUAAAAACCAAAUGAAAACUCAAGAGAUACAAGAAUGUGGUUAUUUUGAUGAACAACUCACAAACUAGUUGAAUUAAAAGAAACUGGUUCAAAUGAACACAAACCUAAACAUUUUUUCAGUUCGUCUAAUUAAAGUCUAACCAAUUCCUUCUAAUUUAAAAGAUCCAGUUUUGGAUAUAUCCAAGACUAAAACACAAUCUUAUCAAAGUCUAUUUAAUAUGGUGUAAAUCUCACGGGAACUGUGACUAUCUUCUCUCCCAGUCUAAACCUUGUGGCUUUUCUGAUUGCUUUUUAUAAUGAUUGAUGUUCAUAUCUCUCGCUUAUUUUAUAAGAAAUAAAGAAAACAAAGAUCAUAAACUCACACACAGAAAAAUAAAAGACACAGUUUUUUGUUUGUUUUGUUGAGACAAGGUCUCACUGUAUUGCCCAGGCUGGUCUUGAACUCCUGGGCUCAAGUGAUCCUCCUGCCUUGGCCUCCCAAAGUGCUGGGAUUACCACACCUGGCCAGCAAUACAUUUUUAAAUGAAGAUUCACUACCCUAGCCAAAAGUGUCUUCUCCUUCUGCAGCUAUUUUAUUAAUAAAACUCACUGAUAGCAUUGUCCAGACAUCAGAGACCACAUACUACCUAGUGCAUUUUUGUGGCUAAUGUGUCCCCUACUAGAUGGUAAAUUCCUUGGGGCUAGUGAUCAUAUCUUAAACAUUUCACACAGCCCCUAGCUACACUGCUGACCUGCAGAUUAUAAAGACCACAACAUUUAAGUGGAAAGCAAGUAUCCAUUAUGCAGUAUUAAGCAAAUGUUAGAUUUUCAACAUAUGGGUUUUAAAAGGCAAAUAUGUAUAUAAUGAAAAGAAGUAAAAGCCCUGUGGCUGGGUGGGGUGGCUCACGCUUGUAAUCCCAAAACUUUCGAGGCUGAGGUGG